GAUGAACGCUGGCGGCGUGCCUAAUACAUGCAAGUCGAGCGAACAGACGAGGAGCUUGCUCCUCUGACGUUAGCGGCGGACGGGUGAGUAACACGUGGAUAACCUACCUAUAAGACUGGGAUAACUUCGGGAAACCGGAGCUAAUACCGGAUAAUGUAUUGAACCGCAUGGUUCAAUAGUGAAAGACGGUUUUGCUGUCACUUAUAGAUGGAUCCGCGCCGCAUUAGCUAGUUGGUAAGGUAACGGCUUACCAAGGCAACGAUGCGUAGCCGACCUGAGAGGGUGAUCGGCCACACUGGAACUGAGACACGGUCCAGACUCCUACGGGAGGCAGCAGUAGGGAAUCUUCCGCAAAGGGCGAAAGCUUGACGGAGCAACGCCGCGUGAGUGAUGAAGGUCUUCGGAUCGUAAAACUCUGUUAUUAGGGAAGAACAAAUGUGUAAGUAACUAUGCACGUCUUGACGGUACCUAAUCAGAAAGCCACGGCUAACUACGUG
rnacentral:rRNA from 1 species